rnacentral:tRNA from 2 species
GGAGAGGUGCCGGAGCGGUUGAACGGGACGGACUCGAAAUCCGUUGUACCUCUUGGGGUACCGUGGGUUCGAAUCCCACCCUCUCCGCCA